UUCGACGGACGACGGAGGCGGCGGCUCCUGGCCGUCUGUCCACCGGCGAAGGGGAGGACGACGCGGCAGCGCGCUGCGCCGUGUCUGCGUGCGCGCGUGUGAGUGUGUGUGAGUCAGUGCGAAAUUGAGAGAAGGUGAGAACGAGCGAAGGGAGGAAAGGUGGUGGCCGUGGUCUUGACGCGGCAGCGGAUCUGCCGCGAAGACGACGGAGGCAGCGGCGGCGCACCGCUUUGACGGCGGCGUGCGUCCUGUUU
rnacentral:lncRNA from 1 species